GCCCGACUGGCGCAAUUGGAUAACGCGCCAAGACCUCUAAUCUGGUGAUUGUGGGUUCGAGUCCCACGUCGGUAUACA
rnacentral:tRNA from 1 species